CGGCAACAGCUCAAAUUUGAAAUCUGGCCUUUGGCCCGAGUUGUAAUUUGUAGAGGAUGCUUUUGGUGCGGUGCCCUCCGAGUUCCCUGGAACGGGACGCCAUAGAGGGUGAGAGCCCCGUCUGGCAGGACACCCAGCCCGUGUGAAGCUCCCUCGAC
rnacentral:rRNA from 1 species